GCCAAUGACUAUAGGAUUCUAAUGCGAUAUUGAUACAGUGAAUACGAUAUCAGUGCGUUGUUGAUACGAUAUUAACGCAAUGUCAAUAGGAUUUUAAAGCGAUAUAGUGUCAAUACGAUAUAAAUACGAUGUUAAUUGAUAUGAUUGAUAUUAAUGUGAUUUUGAUAUGAUAGUAUCAUCAGCGGUUGGUAUCAAACGGUAAAGGACGCAUCUCUUAACAAACCCCAGAGGGCUCAGUUGCAGGGAAUUGUACAAAAGCGUUUUCAGGUAGGUACUUCAAAUGGAUGGCGCUCAAGCGUCGCACCUAUACCGUGCCGUCGGAGCAGAUGCGAAGCUCCGACGAGUAGGAGGGCGUGGGGGUCGUGACGCAGCCUCUGGCGCGAGCCUGGGUGAAACGGCCUCCAGUGCAGAUCUUGGUGGUAGUAGCAAAUAUUCAAAUGAGAGCUUUGAAGACCGAAGUGGAGAAAGGUUCCAUGUGAACAGCAGUUGGACAUGGGUUAGUCGAUCCUAAGAGAUAGGGAAAUUCCGUUUGCAAGCGCCCGAUCUUGGGCCGCCUAUCGAAAGGGAAUCGGGUUAAUAUUCCCGAACCGGGACGCGGAUAUUGCCGUUCGCGGCAAAUGCGGUAACGCAAACGAACCCGAAGACGCUGGCGGGGGCCCUGGGAAGAGUUCUCUUUUCUUUUUAACGAGCUUUCACCCUGAAAUCAGCUUGCCUGGAGAUAGGGUUUAAUGCUCGGUAAAGCACCACACUUC
rnacentral:ncRNA from 1 species